GGGCACUGCUGGCCAUUCCAGGAGCGCUGUGGGCAGAGCAAACAGGAAGCAGAGGGCCGGAGCAUGGCAGGCACUCCACCUUGGCCCAGGGGUGUUGGGCAGAUCCAAAAGCAUCACACUGGGAUGAGGCAGCCAGCUGGAGAGUGCUGGGGCACAUCAGGAGAAGGUUGAAAACCACAGAGCUGCACCUGCAGUUGGCAUUGGCUCCCUAUGAAGCGCAGGCAUUGCUCUGAGUCCACUGGGGCUUGUUGCACGCCCGCUCCUCCCCUCCUCUCCUCGGCCACCCUACAGCUACACUGCCGUCAACCUGCCUCGGUUUCAUCAAUCCCCAAGCUGUACAUCAAAGGCUGCAUUUGCUUAGCUGCGCGCUUCCCUGGCAGGCUUCAGGGAUUAAUCACACCCAGCCCUGCGUGAAAAGCGUGACCGUGUCACAGUUGUUUGUGUCGGAUGGGUGCUCUCCU
rnacentral:lncRNA from 1 species